rnacentral:rRNA from 1 species
AGAGUUUGAUCCUGGCUCAGAUUGAACGCUGGCGGCAUGCCUUACACAUGCAAGUCGAGCGGCAGCGCGGGGGCAACCCUGGCGGCGAGCGGCGAACGGGUGAGUAAUGCAUCGGAACGUGUCCUCUUGUGGGGGAUAACCAGUCGAAAGACUGGCUAAUACCGCAUGAGAUCGAGAGAUGAAAGCAGGGGACCGCAAGGCCUUGCGCGAGAGGAGCGGCCGAUGCCGGAUUAGCUAGUUGGCGGGGUAAAAGCCCACCAAGGCGACGAUCCGUAGCUGGUCUGAGAGGACGACCAGCCACACUGGGGCUGAGACACGGCCCAGACUCCUACGGGAGGCAGCAGUGGGGAAUUUUGGACAAUGGGGGCAACCCUGAUCCAGCCAUGCCGCGUGUGUGAAGAAGGCCUUCGGGUUGUAAAGCACUUUCGGACGGAACGAAAUCGCGCGGGUGAAUAUCCCGCGUGGAUGACGGUACCGUAAGAAGAAGCACCGGCUAACUACGUGCCAGCAGCCGCGGUAAUACGUAGGGUGCGAGCGUUAAUCGGAAUUACUGGGCGUAAAGUGUGCGCAGGCGGCGUCGCAAGUCGAGUGUGAAAGCCCCGGGCUUAACUUGGGAAUUGCGCUCGAAACUACGAUGCUGGAGUAUGGCAGAGGAAGGUGGAAUUCCACGUGUAGCGGUGAAAUGCGUAGAGAUGUGGAGGAACACCGAUGGCGAAGGCAGCCUUCUGGGCCAAUACUGACGCUCAUGCACGAAAGCGUGGGGAGCAAACAGGAUUAGAUACCCUGGUAGUCCACGCCCU